UAAUAAUAUUUGCUAGUUGUGGUAUGAGCUGACAGACUUCCUUUUAAGACUUCUAACUUUAGGACUGAAAAGAGCCCUUUGGGCCUGAAAAGAGUGGUUUAGCCCACGGUCAGAUUUGUGUGUGGUUUUCUCCUUCUGGCUCAGUGAACCUUUUAGCCUUUCCUGUGGAAUGAGAGAGCUGUAACAGGAGGAUGGCAAUCCCCUUCCAAGGGUAAUGUCCUGAGUGGUGUGGUUUGGCUUGGGAGCUGGAAAAUUUUCCAUGUUCCAGAUCUUGACACACUGGAAGCCCAGGUAGGACCUCAGUCUCUUUUUUUGGACAUGAUCUUAAGCAGAGAGCUAAACAAUUAUUGUACUAAUUAAUCCAAAAUUCUAAAUAUUUUUCAUGAAAAGGAGGAAUGUGGCACAGAACAGAGUGCUUAAUUUAAUGCAAUAUUGUCACUGAAUCUUUUUUAGCUUGCUUUCAUCUCUAAAAGACAUUAAUCAUUAAGUAGCAUGAGGAAGCUUUGACUAAUAUUUUUGACAGCUUAAAAUUUUUAUUAAAGAAGUUUGGAAGUUUGGUGCUUUUUUUUUUUUUAACCUCCAAAAGUUCAUAAGGUGAAACAUUUCCUGGAUACAGGUUUAUAAGCAGUGGUAUGACAGCAAAAAUUAGACUGGGUUCUAAAAAAUGUUGUGUUGAGAGCACAUUUCAUUCCAACAGUCCCUUCUCCAAAUAAGAGCUUUUAUUUUCUAUACAGAAUUUGAGUUAAUUUUCAAGCACACUGUCUUAAUAAGAGGAGUACUGAAAUAAUUCAUUUUUAUUACUGUGCUCGAGGACAUGAAAAAAGUUAGUGUAGGUGUUCAAAUUGAUUUAGCCUGUUUGCAUCAGAUAUAAUUUUAGAGUGAAAGAAGUUAAGAGGAUUAGAGGACUACUGUGCAUCACUGCUGAUUGCAAAAUGAGGGUUUGGUCAUGGAGAUGGUUGAAAGAGCCAACACAACUGUUUAUUCUGCAGGUAUAAUCUAGCUCUGAGCUGCACUGCUGAUGGGGUCUUUUCUGUGGCUGUUGGGUUUUCACUUGCAAGAAAUAAAAGAUAUUACUAACAGAGGAAAUGAAAAAUCUUAUCUUCUUUUUAAAAUAAUCUAGAAGCACUUGUAGAUGUAGAUGAAUCAAGCACUGCUUGAUUCUAAAUUAGUGCUUCUCAAAGUAAAUAAGAAGUUGCAGUGGCCAAAGUUCCAGUGUCAGCUCAACCUCCUGGAGUGGGGCUUCAAGUUGAGUCUUCAGUUCAGCAGUAAAAACACCCUCCCUCUCAUGGGCAGUGGUGAUGCCUGUAGCCAGAGGUAACUGGAAGAAGUAGAUAAGCCAGGAUGGUAAAGAAAAAAAAAAAGGAUUCUGAAAAAUGUGGCAUGGCAAGAUUUAACUGCUGACUUCCCACUGUGUCACACUGACUGCAACUCUGAAACUUAUACAAACAUGUCUUUUAAAGGGACACUUUAGGUGUAUAUAUAUAUGUAUUAAUAUAUAUGUGUAUAUCCUUGGUAUUUAUAUAUUUUAUAUGUAUUUUGAUGUGCAUUAACAUGUUAUGUCACCAGUAUUGCUGGAAUAACUAGAAAUCUCUUCUUCUAUUAAAAAAGUGGCACCACAUAAUUUUUCUCUCUCUCUCAUGUCAUUUUAUCUGGAGCACAUAAUGCUUGUGAAUAACAGCUCCAUGUCCCCAAUUUCUGAAAUGCUGCAGGAUCACCACAUCCAGAUAUGGAUUAAAUUGAAGGGAGCCAGUCUGAAAGCAGGAUUUUAAAAGGAAAACAGCUCAGAAACUGCAUAUAUUUGUGGAAAGGGAGAACAUGAGUCACAUUUGUUGGAUUUGGAAGACUAAUGAAGAUCUGGAUGUCCCUUGUGUACAAAUGACACCUCUUAACUCCAGACUGUGAAUGACACAGGUUGCCAACAAAUUUGGUUUUAUUUAAGGCAACAGUUCUAGACUUUUCACGGGGGAAGAAGAUGGGGAGAUAAGAGAGCACAUUAGGUUUUAUCCCUGGAGGCUCGCUCCGUGUUCAGCUGAGAGGGCAGCAACAAGAAAGCAACCCUGUUUAGAAAACCAAGAUCUUCUCCACAUGGAAUAAUAAAACCAAAGAAUAAAGUUAAAAGAAGACAAGAUGAACAUUAACUUAUUCUAGCCUCAAAGAUGUGGCUGUGUUUGUUAGUAUUUUCUAUACUUGUCUGAUUCUUUUCACAGGUUUCAGCUUUUACAGGGGUCAGUCUCCAGCACGCUCUUCUCCCUGGAGAUGUUUUUGCACAUGGAUGAGCCUUCUGGUAUCCCUGCCACCCUCUAGUCUGGAUAUCUUUCAGAAACUUGAAAGCAUGUCAGCAAGUCACAGAUAAAACUUCCAAAGGGAAUAGGAAGUCAGAGAACACAGCAGUGGCACAGGAGUACAGAGGAAGCAGCUCUGAGCAGCUUGGUGUGAGCCAGGAGCUUGAGAACAGCUUUUCCAAAUGAAUGGAAGUUGAGUCCCAGAGCACCUUCAUUCUCCAGCACCUUGAAGAAAACAAAGCCACUACACAAGGGGGAAAAAAAAUUACUAGAAAUAAGAAGACACUUAGUUCAAGAGCAACUUGGGCUCCUCCUCCCCUAAGAGACAGACCAGCAAAUGUCCACAGCGACAACGAUGGAAAACGAAAAAGACACUUCUCUAUGUAUAUAUUUUGGGAAAGUAUUUAGCAUCCAAAGUUGAUAUAACACAUAUUCUCUUUGUUUAGCUAAAACCAACACAAAUGACCAGUUUUGCUUCACGAGGAAUGAAUAUGGCACUUUCUUCAAUUCAAAACAGCAGGAAAUUGAUGCUGCUUUUAAAAAUUCUUUUAAGAAACACUUUUAGACACUCAAUUACUCCCAUUCUUUUCAACAUGUUAUUAUUGCUGAAAAUCAUUCAUAUGCUUCCAAGAAAAUUAACUACCAGUUGGGUCUCAAAAUCUCCCUUUCAGAUGUUGCAUGUGUUAAAAUUGGCU